rnacentral:rRNA from 1 species
AAUUAAAUUAAAUAGCUGCAGUAUAAAUAACUGUACAAAGGUAGCAUAAUAAUUAGUUUUUUAAUUAAAAACUAGAAUGAAUGAUUUAAUGAAAUAAAAACUGUCUCAAUUUAAAUAAAUAAAAUUUUUUUUUAAGUAAAAAAACUUAAAUAAAAUUAAAAGACGAGAAGACCCUAUAGAAUUUUAUAUUUUAUUAAUAAAUUUUCAAUUUUAUUUUUAUUCAUAAAAUAUUUAAUUGGGGAGAUUUUAAAAUUUACUAAACUUUUAAAUAUAUAAAAUACAUAAAUUUAUGAAAAUAAUAUAUUUUAUAAAAAAUAUAAAUUAAAUUACCUUAGGGAUAACAGCAUUAUUUUUUUUUUAAGUUCAUAUUAAUAAAAAAGUUUAU